rnacentral:lncRNA from 1 species
AAAGGCCAAGGAUCUAGGGGAGGGUGAUAAAGCAAUGCCCCUUGAAAGCAGAACGAUCCAGCUCAGGACAGCGGGUUGGAGCGCCAGCAGGGACUUUCUGGACAUUUGAGUCUGGGUCACUUUGUUGUUCAGGAUGGUUCAAAGUUACCCGGUUUCUCAAUAUACCCCGGAUGCACUUGUAGACUUGGUCUCUACCUCCUCUGGUGAGCAGCUCUCCUAGCUCCUAUCACUUACCUAGUUCCGUCAUGGUGUGUCCAGAAUCGGCGGAUUCUUGGUCUCACUGACUUCAAGAACGAAGCCGCGGACCCUGGCGGUGAGUGUUACAGUUUUUAAAGGCAGCGUGUCCCAAGUUUGUUUCUUCUGAUGCUCGCAUGUGUUCGGAGUUUCUUCCUUCUGGCAGAUUCGUGAUCUCGCUGACUUCAGGAGUGAAGCUACGGACCUUCAUCAUGAGUGCUACGGCUCUUAAGGUGGCGUGUUUGGAGUUAUUCGUUUCUCCCGGUGGGUCCGUGAUGUGGCUGGCUUUAAGAACGAAGCUGCAGACCUUCACGAGAGCACAGUGAUCUUCCUUACAAGCGGGAUUCCCGAGAGGAAAAUGUUUGUAAUCAGAUUUGACUCUAGGAUUAAGAGGGCAAGGUGCGACCCUCUUAGUGAACCGGAAAGUAAGCAACGGUACACAAGUGUUCUCACCAGGGACAGCAAAUGGGAGUUGCCAAGAUUACAAGAUCCCAAGACCUCAACUAUUUCACGUGCUGAACUAAACUCAAAACUUUGUGGGAUUUGUUUUAAAUUUCUCAUUGGCAAGUGGUGACUUCCUGCUCUCGCAAGAAAAAAGAUUAAAGGGGUUUGUUUACUGUCUCUGACACAAACAGCUCUUACAACACAUUUUGUACACUUGACAUAAAUGAAAUUUAAUCAAACUGGUCAAAUUCCUUUGGGAGGUGGGGAGAAAAUAAAUCAAUCAGCAAGAAGCACUUGUGAUUUCCAAAAUAAUGAUAACAUAAGUCUUUCUCCAUGUCAAACAUCACUGUUUCCAGAUAAGCGACUUAGCUCUACUAUAAAACACAACCCAUAGCCAAAUUGCUUCUUGUCAAAGCACUAAGGGAUCCUCCAAUAAUGUCACUCUACCAAGGCAGAUUCAGAACUCACCCUCCUCUAUACCUCUGCCUCUGCAGCUUUGUACCCCAGCAGGGGCCAGCCAGCACACGAUUUCUGAAAAGGGCCAUAAAAUAAAUGAAUAAAUGUAGUAGACUUUUUUUUUUUUUUUUUUGAGACAGGGUCUCACUCUGUGGCCCAAGCUGGAGUGCAGUGGUGCAAUCUCGGUUCACUGCAACCUCCGCCUCCCGGUUCAAGCAAUUCUCGUGCCUCAGCCUCCUGAGUAGCUGGGAUUACAGGUGUGCACCACCACACCCGGCUAAUUUUAGUAGUGCCUGUAGUCGCAGCUAAUCGGGAGGCUGAGGGAGGAGAAUGGCGUGAACCUGGGAGGCAGAGCUUGCAGUGAGCCGAAAUCGCAUGCUGCACUCCAG